GGGCGUGUGACUGGCGGAUCGUGGAAGCAACCACAGGGAGCACGUCAGAAGAUUUUAGAGCCGACCGCCUGGGCACAC
rnacentral:ncRNA from 1 species